rnacentral:tRNA from 1 species
GCCCCUGUGGCGCAGUUAGUAGCGCGGCAGUUUCGUAAACUGUAGGUCGAGAGUGCGAAUCUCUCCAGGGGCU